AGCUUUAUGUAUAACUAUAUAAAGUUGAGCCUGCCCGGUGAAGUAGAUUUUAACGGCCGCAGUACUUUGACUGUGCUAAGGUAGCAAAAUAAAUUGGCUUCUAAUUAAAGUCGAGUAUGAAUGGCAUCAUGGGGGAAAGCUGUCUUACUUAAUUAAUUAUUAAUUUAAUAAGUAGGUGCAAAUGCCUACUAAUAAAUAUUAGACGAGAAGACCCUCAGAGUUUUUUAAUAGAAAACUUUAGAGUAGUUGUACUUUUUUGUUGGGGCGACAAAGUAGCAUAUAAAGCCUACUUAAAAAAUCUGGACAAGCCUAAAUAUAUAAGUGAAUAUAACUACCUAAGGGAUAACAGCAUAAUUUUAUUUUAAGAUUGUGACCUCGAUGUUGGACUAGGGACUUAAUAGGUUAGCCACAUAUUAAGAGGAUUCUGUUCGAAUUUAAAUUACCU
rnacentral:rRNA from 1 species